UACGUAGGCUCCAAGCGUUUUUCGGAAUUACUGGGCGUAAAGCGAGUGUAGGCGGUCCGUCAAGUCGGUUGUGAAAUCUCCUGGCUCAACUGGGAGGGUGCGACCGAAACUGACGGACUGGAGUCCGGGAGAGGAGAGUGGAAUUCCUGGUGUAGCGGUGAAAUGCGUAGAUAUCAGGAGGAACACCGGUGGUGAAGACGGCUCUCUGGACCGGUACUGACGCUGAGACUCGAAAGCGUGGGGCGCAAACAGG
rnacentral:rRNA from 1 species